ensembl:lncRNA
GUGAGGAGUUAGCUUAGCAGCUAAAACACGCAGCUCUACAGAAAAGUGGCUUUAGGACUCGAACACAGAAAAACCCCAACAAAAGCCGCUAAUGUUGAUCAGAAGUUCAGCCCCCGGCUCAGCAGGACAUCUGGUCCUGCAGGCGAAGGUGGAUCGUGAGACUGUAGGACAGAAAGUGGUGAAACUGACCUGUAGCCCCCCCUGCAGGCCCAGUGGAAACUAUUACUACGACUGGUUCAGAGAUAAAGGACAGUUCAGCAGUAGAGAAUACGUAGGAUGUUCAUAUAGCGCCUCACUCUGGUUGGACUCCACCAGAUCAUCUGAUCAGGGCAGCUACACCUGUGAGGUGAAGGACUACAGCCUCCCUCAGGAAAACUGUGAGUGUCAGUCAGUAAAUAAAGUAAUUUAAAAAAUAAAGUAAGAAAUUCAGAACCAGGAAAUGACCUGCAUUCAGUUUCGAUUUGAGAUGUAAAAAACUUCACUUUCAAAAUAAGAGCUCUUUUAUUGUACAGUCUCUAUACAUUAUAGAAAUGUUUAAAAUAUGCUAAAUGUAUCAUUUGUGCUCAGUGGAAUUAAACGUAUCAUGUCUGGACUCCAGAAAGUCUCAUGUACAGUUCUGUGUAAAAGAGUAAAAGCAGAAUUUUAGGAAGGAAUAGAUCAGUAACCAGGCUUCCGGCUCACUGUGGGGCUUUAAGAGGAGCGUCGCUUCGCUGUCGGUGAUCUGCAGGACAGCCGUCCUCCAGUCGAUCAGAGCAGCCGGGGGCCGAUCAGAGCUGAUUCUAGUCAUAACUAAAGUUCUAGUUUAGUUCAGUUUGUUUGCUGUUCAUGAUUGUGAUUCACUCACAUGACGUCAUUGAUUAGGGGGUGUGGCCGUUUCAGGACACCAGUUCGUUAACGACAGAUUUGAGUCUCGUACCUCGCUCUCUCUUUCUUUCUGUCUCUCGCUCUCUCUCUCGCUCUCUCUGUCUGGCUCGCGCUGGCGCUCUCUCUCUCUCGCUCUCUCUCUCUCUCUCUCUCUCUCGCUCUCUCUCUCUCUCUCUCUCUCUCUCUCUCUCUCUCUCUCUCUCUCUCGCUCUCUCUCUCUCUCUCUCUCUCUCUCUCUCUCUCUCGCUCUCUCUCUCUCUGUCUGUCUGUCUGUGUGUCUGUCUCUCUCUGUCUCGCUCUCUCUUUCGCUCGCUCU